rnacentral:rRNA from 1 species
GAUGAACGCUGGCGGCGUGCUUAACACAUGCAAGUCGAACGAAGCACUUGAUCUUCGGGUCUUGUGACUGAGUGGCGGACGGGUGAGUAACGCGUGGGUAACCUGCCCUGUACAGGGGGAUAACAGUUAGAAAUGACUGCUAAUACCGCAUAAGCAUACGAGGAGGCAUCUCCUGGUGUGAAAAACUCCGGUGGUACAGGAUGGGCCCGCGUCUGAUUAGCUAGUUGGCAGGGUAACGGCCUACCAAUGCGACGAUCAGUAGCCGGUCUGAGAGGAUGAACGGCCACAUUGGAACUGAGACACGGUCCAAA